rnacentral:rRNA from 1 species
AAGUCGAACGGUGAACACGGAGCUUGCUCUGUGGGNUCAGUGGCGAACGGGUGAGUAACACGUGAGCAACCUACCCCUGACUCUGGGAUAAGCGCUGGAAACGGCGUCUAAUACUGGAUACGAGUGGCGACCGCAUGGUCAGCUACUGGAAAGAUUUAUUGGUUGGGGAUGGGCUCGCGGCCUAUCAGCUUGUUGGUGAGGUAAUGGCUCACCAAGGCGUCGACGGGUAGCCGGCCUGAGAGGGUGACCGGCCACACUGGGACUGAGACACGGCCCAGACUCCUACGGGAGGCAGCGGUGGGGAAUAUUGCACAAUGGGCGCAAGCCUGAUGCAGCAACGCCGCGUGAGGGAUGACGGCCUUCGGGUUGUAAACCUCUUUUAGCAGGGAAGAAGCGAAAGUGACGGUACCUGCAGAAAAAGCGCCGGCUAACUACGUGCCAGCAGCCGCGGUAAUACGUAGGGCGCAAGCGUUAUCCGGAAUUAUUGGGCGUAAAGAGCUCGUANGCGGUUUGUCGCGUCUGCUGUG